GAAAGUUUUAAUGAAAGGGUGGUGCAAGGAGCAGAACAUGAGCCUGAGAGUUCAAUGGGGAGAAACCAAAGCCCAGCAGAAAACACUUGUCUUGGCUUCUGUUCUCACGCUCAGACGUGCUCUAUGGGAGUGGAGCUCCUGAGCCAAGGACCUGAGACUUGAAUUUGAAUGGAAGUCAACAAGCCCAUCCAUGAGCUAUGACCACAGAGUGGUGGGACUGCCUUCAUAAUGAACCUUCCAGACCUACACAUCCAAGCAUCUGUGUGGGAUGUGCUGUCUGGAAUGCUGCAAAGCUGGAUGCAGAUAAUGCACAGGUACUUCUGGGUUCUGACUCUGCUUAGCCCCCAUGUGAGGUUGUAGCCUUAGUGACAUGAGUUGGGUCCAGAACCAUUUCUCUUGAUUGCCCUGAAUUAUUAGAAGUGCAUUCCUCUAGAACUAUGAUGUAAGCUCUAUUGUAACAGGGUAAGAAAUCCACCUUUCCGGUGAGAUCUUACCUCCUACGGAUGAAGGCUGGCAGGCACUCCUCCCCACCUCCAGAAUCCUGAGGGUCAAAGGAAGCUAUGGAGCGAGGUUUACCUCUAUUGCUCCCUUUCAUCUGAGAAGAUUUUGAGACCUUACCUAAUUUAAUUUAACCUCACCUUACAGGGAUUGAGUGUAGCUUCAGUACCCAUAACCUUGAGCUGGGGACAUGAGGAAGGACCGGCUUCCUGGUGCUGGCCCUGAGACUAAUAGGAAUAACAGGCCUAAGUGAACUGAGGCAGGGGUGGGCUGGGGUUGCCUCUACUGCGGCUCCUCUGGGAGUCUGCCCACUAACCAAGCCUUGCCUCCUUGGUCCCUCUCUCUGUAGCCCCGUAUUUCAGCCUCUCCAGCAGUCUUUCUUUCUUAAGCCACAAAUUUCCCAAGAUGUCUGGCCCCAGCUCUCUGCUGCUAACAGAAACCUCUAUCUGGCUGCUACUACUUGUCCAUUUCCCUUCCAUGGCUGUCUCAACUCCCUUCCCUCAAGUCAAAGACUUGGAAACAACAGGAGGGAAUUUCAGGCCAAGAGCAAGGGAUGGGUGUAGUGAUUAAUCAAAUGCCAACCAGCUAUUUACAUGAUUACAAAUGAACCGCUUCCACAGACACAGUGAUUUCAUGUGAUCUGCCAUCAAAAUAACCUUGUAUGAUAGUUGAUUUUAUGGGUCUCCUUGAUUGAGCCAUGGACGCCUGUAUAUUUGGUCAUACAUUAUGCUGGGUGCUUCUGGAUGAGAUCAACAUCUAAAUCAGUAGACUGGGGAUGCCUGCGUGGCUCAGCAGUUGGGCGUCUGCCUUUGGUUCAGGGCGUGAUCUGGAGACCCGGGAUCAAGUCCCACGUCGGGCUCCCUGCGUGGAGCCUGCUUCUCCCU